GAUGAACGCUGGCGGCGUGCUUAACACAUGCAAGUCGAACGAGAAUCAACGGAUUGAGGAUUCGUCCAAAUGAAGUUGAGGAAAGUGGCGGACGGGUGAGUAACGCGUGAGGAACCUGCCUCGGAGUGGGGAAUAACAGUUGGAAACAGCUGCUAAUACCGCAUAAUGCAACGGAAUCGCAUGACUCUGUUGCCAAAGAUUUAUCGCUCUGAGAUGGCCUCGCGUCUGAUUAGCUAGUUGGCGGGGUAACGGCCCACCAAGGCGACGAUCAGUAGCCGGACUGAGAGGUUGGCCGGCCACAUUGGGACUGAGACACGGCCCAG
rnacentral:rRNA from 1 species